UUGAUCAUGGCUCAGGAUGAACGCUAGCGGGAGGAUUAACACAUGCAAGCCGAGGGGUAUAAUUCUUUCGGGAAUUAGAGACCGGCGCACGGGUGCGUAACGCGUAUGCAACUUGCCCUACUGUAAGGGAUAGCCCUUCGAAAGGAGGAUUAAUACCUUAUAAUAAUAACUCUGGCAUCAGGGGAAUUUGAAAGAUUUAUCGCAGUAGGAUAGGCAUGCGUAAGAUUAGUUAGUUGGUAAGGUAACGGCUUACCAAGACGAUGAUCUUUAGGGGGCCUGAGAGGGUGAACCCCCACACUGGUACUGAGACACGGACCAGACUCCUACGGGAGGCAGCAGUGAGGAAUAUUGGACAAUGGGUGGAAGCCUGAUCCAGCCAUCCCGCGUGUAGGAUGACGGCCUUAUGGGUUGUAAACUACUUUUAUCUGGGGAUAAACCUACUUUCGUGAGAGUAGCUGAAGGUACCAGAAGAAUAAGCACCGGCUAACUCCGUGCCAGCAGCCGCGGUAAUACGGAGGGUGCAAGCGUUAUCCGGAUUUAUUGGGUUUAAAGGGUCCGUAG
rnacentral:rRNA from 1 species